AGGACGAACGCUGGCGGCGUGCUUAACACAUGCAAGUCGAGCGGAAAGGCCCUUCGGGGUACUCGAGCGGCGAACGGGUGAGUAACACGUGAGCAAUCUGCCCCUAGCUCUGGGAUAGCUCCGGGAAACCGGGAUUAAUACCAGAUACAACCACUUUAGACAUCUUUUGUGGUGGAAAGGAUUCCGGCUAGGGAUGAGCUCGCGGCCUAUCAGCUUGUUGGUUGGGUAACGGCCCACCAAGGCGACGACGGGUA
rnacentral:rRNA from 1 species